rnacentral:lncRNA from 1 species
UCCCCCUCCAGAGAGGUGUUCCAAUUCAAAUUAGAGAAGUCGGAAGGAGCAACUGAGGUUCCUAUCGGAUUUCCUCUCUACUCCGUAAGCUUAUUUGGAGGGAUUAAUUUAAAAUUCAUUCUAUUUUUCUAUAUACAUAUUUCAUCCAGAAGAGACUGUUACUCCUAAAAAAAUUGUAUUUGUCAUUCCGGUGAAACGUUACUGGUUAUGUAGUCUAAUCACAGUCUUCUAUACUAAAAUGGAACUUCUAAUAUGACCAAUCACAUCACUAUUAGUCAAAAGGAAACCAUUCAAAGAUUAAACUACUAAUAAAGGCUUGAAUGAUCAUUCA